rnacentral:lncRNA from 1 species
CAGAGCCAAAGCUGGUGAAUGGCAGAACCAACAUUCUACAUGCCUGGAGCUCACAGAGUAGCCCGGAUGGAUCGCAGUGCAUUAGAAUGGUGAGUUUCUUUUGUCAGAUCCAGUUCUACCAAUCAACAUCCGAGGGUCAAAUGUGUUCGGCAUUGGAGCUUCAUAAGGGAAAGAGUAUUGUUAAGAUUUUUGCAGACCCAAUCCCUAUGCACUAUGUCCAAACCCUUUCAGACUAGAUCACCUUCUUGACUCCUCCAGGAGCUCAUCACAUCCCUCCACUGAGAGUGAUUGGACAAGAACCAGGGGCAGAAGCCGAUGUGGGCUGGGGUCCAGCUCAGCUCAGCCACCAUAGCAGGCAGGGCACAUGAAUGAGGGUGGCAGUUCUUGGAAGUGGACAUGCCUGGGUUCUGGUUAUGUAAACAGGAGCCCAGGCAGAGAGGGUGCCAAGGUGGUAGGUGCAGGAGGGCUAGAGGUAAAGCCAGGACUUUCGGUGCCCUCCCUGGCAGAGAGACGCCUGGCCAUACUGCUGGAAAGCUUCUGAUCAGGAAGCCCUCUGGGAAGCCCUUCCCACCCCCAGAUCAUGCCCUGUGCAGAGAAGGGUGGUUGGGGAUGUGGUGUGUAAUGAGCAAGGGCCAUCUGCAUUGAGGCCUCUGGAUUCUCCACUUGGCUUUGUUCAAGCAGAGGAGGCUUAUGGCUUCGGGGUAUUUCAGUACGGUAAAAUGGGCAUGGAUUUUGAAGUCUGAUGGUCCUGGUGUCCUGGUGCUACUCUUUAGCCCUUGAAACCCAAUGAUACUCUGUCACCACCCUGUAGCUAGCAGCAGUAACAAACACACCCUUAUUCAGAGAUGUGACAGGAUGUCAUCUCCUCAUUUAGGUCAUUGAGUGGAUCUCCUCCAGGUGAGCAUUCAGGGAUCCAGGAUCCUUCCACUUGGUGGCUAUACAGUCCCCUAAGGCCCCGGAGACCUCUGCCUAGAGGUGAUGGUGAGAGAGAAGGUGGUGUGUCUUAGCACAUUAGCCCAGAGUGACACAUAUCCCUUCCAGUCACAUUUCCUUGAGCCGGGGGGCUAGGAAACGUAACCCCAGUGACUAUUCUGUACUAGGGAAAGGACCACGUGAGUGUAACCAGACAAUUAGCUUCCCUGCCAUGACCACUGGGCCAAAUCUAAAAGCCUCAAUGGCCCCAUCUGUGAGGCAGAGAAAAUGGAACUCGACCUCUCAGAGCUGCUAUGGCAUCAGAGCUGAGGUGAGGUGCGACUCACCUCCUGCUCCAUGAUGGGCCGGCCGCCCCCACCCCCACAACUGCUGUCAGUGCUCCAUGUCCUUCUGUGCUUCUAUCUAAAGAGGCCUCACAAUGACCAUCAUGCAAUAUGCAUCCUGCCUGGUGAUGGUUACAUAAAUGUGAGUCUGUGUCAUGAUGACUACUAAGCAACAUGUAUUAUCUACUGUGAUUAUUACGUCAACGCGAAUGGACACUUCACUCUAACGUAGGUCCCAUGAAAUACACCUUCUGGGCCAUGGACAUAAUAUUUUAAAUAUUACCCCAUUGUUUGCCAUUAUUUUAAAAGGACUUUGUUAUAAAAGCAAUAUAGGUCACUGAAAAAAUUGCCAACACGGAGACACAAAGUGGGGCUUCAGUGUUUCUUCCUGAUCCUCCAGGCCUAUUCGGGUAAAUAACCACUGGGAUGAUUUUGGUUUAGAAACACCCUAUGCUUAUAAGUAAGCAUAGGUUGAUGCUUUUAUUUUGCAUAACAGCAAAUCAUGCUAAAAUGCUAUUCUGCAGCCCCCUUUCUUUCCUUCUGUUUCCAUAUGUGCUCUGACGCACUUUUUUGACAGCUCCAUACUACCCCACUGUGGGUAUGGGCUGCAGUUUGUCUGACCAGAGAUGAGAACUUUAGCAAUAAGUAAAAAGGCAUCAUGUUCUAACUUUCUUCUGGGGUAUGCUGGGCCACUCCCCAUGCCUACCUUCCCAUCAAACUUCAGGCACUCCAAAACCCCAUGGCUCCAUCAGGUGCCCACAGCUCUCACCAGAGCACCUUCAUGUCCUGGAAUUGGACCAGGUUUGUCCCCAAACCCUUGAUUGUUCUCUCAGGGGUGAGGUCAAGGGGGUGGGAGGAAGAGUGAGAAGCCUGCAGGAACCCUUCCCUAUGCAGGAGCCAAACUAACCCAGAGGAGCAGUCCUCAAGGUCCCCCAGGGCACUAAAGACACUUGUUUCAACCUCAAGGACAUGGGCCCAGAGCGUGGGGAUCAUUAAAGGAAUCUCCUCUUUGGCUCACGUCAUUCACGGUAAGACUUCCUAACAUGGUGCAAAAAACCAAGUGGCUCUAGCAACAUCGUCAAGGUCCUGGGUGGACAGUCAGGCACUGGGCUGUGAAAAUGAAUUUGUGCACCACCCCACUGCCCACACCGUGGAACCCACCUGGUGCCAGUCCUCAACAACAUUUCCCAAUUUGGGGCCGUUUGCGUGCUAUCUUCUGCUUUCCUGUUUUGCUUCUCUGCACACCACCUUUGCACAUAUCUCUAGGUUUGAACAAUUGCACUUACACAUUUCUAAUCUAUGUUCCUUCCAUCUUAAUCCCAGGCAACAUCUUGAAGCCACAAGUUGGGUGUGCUAGUUAUGCCCAACUAUUAGGGCACAUGCAACUCUCACCAAGAAAGUCAUUCAUCUCUGCACCUCCUAAAAUCAUUGCCUACAUCAUUCUUGGGGUUGUGGCCCCAGGACUCCCAUAGAUCUCCAGGGAGGGGCUUCUCUCUGUACCGUUUCAGAGGAGGCUCCUUAGAGAUCUUCAGCACAUGUGAGUUUCACAUUAUGAGCCAGCUACCCCUGUUUCCUUCAUCAGCACAGGAGAAGAUUUUUGGCCACAAUGAUCCUUGUGGAAUGUUUUCCUCUCUUUCUGGGAAGAAAAGAAGUGCCUCCAUUCCCAAUUCCCACUGAGGAGAAGCACUGAGGAGUGAGAAGCAUCCAGGACUCUGGCUCCACAGAUGUGGAAUCUCUUCAGUGCUAAGUGCUCUGGGCCAGGGAGGCAUGAGUCCUGCUCAUAGGCUUUUGGGUUCACUUGGUGAAUUUGGCCUCCUUUUCAGCGCUUGGGUUAAUGAGGUGCAGAUGGUCCAUAGCUGAUUCCUUUCCUAUGACAACUAUUUCACAGGCAAGGAAACAUACUCAAUGGCUCCUUGGUGAAUAGUUACCUAGUUUCUGAAAUCCCUACUCAGUCUGGGAAAAGGUUUCUCAUCAGAGGAAAGAUGACCCAAGAUGGACUUACUGAAGUACUGGGAUGCACAUUCCUUGGCAGAUACGCUGGGAAUCUGGAGAUCUUGGUGGCUCUGUGUUUGGUUGUACAGAGAUGCUGAUACUAUCUUUGUGGUAAGUGGCACAUUAUUGGGUGACAUUCAGAAAUAUUUCCACCCCAUAGCAACUCACUCACAACCCCCAUCAUCCUGGCAGUGUCCCCAGAUACACCCAUUCCUGUCUUGGCCACACCUGGAAGUGUUGCCGUGUAUCAAGGGCUCCUCCAGAAGCACUUUCCCCUUAUGUUCAGUAGACCUUCCCUUCAGAGGCGUCUGUUGCCUCCUGUGGCCUCCUGUGAAGUUUGGGCCAGUUUAUUCAGUGUGACCAAGCACUGUGGGGGGAGGGGAGACUGAGGAUUAGUAUUGUGCUCUGACAACAAAUAAUGAGGACAAGAACUGGUAAGCACAGCAGUGCAGAGACUGUCCAUCCAGAUUUCAGAGAGCCAUAGAGCUUGUUGACAAGGAAUUGCUGCCCGAGGUCUGGCUGGGCAUUUAACUUGACAGAUGCAGAAAAGCGAGUGGGUGGAGUGUUACAGAGAAGCCCACAUUGGACCCAAUUCAGACUCCACACUGCAUCUGCCUGUCUCUGGGGAGUUGGAGUCCCUGGACUCCCACUAGUCUGUUGGGUCUGGUUGAGUGGGUUUAAAUCUUGUCAAUCACAAACAUGGGAUUUAUCCACAUUCUGUCCUGCUUAGUGCUUUGUCCAGGAAGCCAGUUUUUUCCUCCAGAGUAGGAGUCUCAGCCCCCUGAACACAUGUAGCUACCUCCUUCCCGCAUCCGACAUUGAGUACCAAGAAAAUUUGUGUGUUUAUCUAGAUAAAAGACUGAAUUGAGAGCUGAAGCCUCUGCAUACAACAUGGUGACUGCAUUCCAGGUCAGAUGGAGCAGGCUUUGCUCUUGUUAGGCUUAUUGGAGCUGCAUCCUUUCCAAAAUCACAGAGAACAACUCCAACUGGUCCCACGCAGGGUGCUCAGCAGCAGUACGCAGCACAGGUAGCUUCAGCCUCUGGAGGUAAGGCCUCCAGUUGCCUGAGUCUGCUCAGGGACAUCCUUCAGGGAGGACCUGAAGCUCAGCGCCUCACAGUUCACUUCCUCUCUUGCAACAUUUCCCGAGCAUAUGGCUGUGGCAGGUUAGCAAUGAGCCUGCUGGCUUGGAGAUGAAGGGCAGUGGGACCAUCAGUGUCAGGUUGUGUUAGUCUGUAGGACCAUUGGUCCAGCUGCCCCUUUGGGGAUGGUGGAGCUGACGGGAGGUGAAGAGCCAGUCAUCCCUGUCUGCCAUAGAGCUCCAGGCCCACUUGGGUUGGUCUUGAUUAUGAUGGAGCCUUCUGGCCAAGGACCUGGGGCCACACUGAGAAGUGAGCAGCAAUUUCCAUUCUCCCUGAGUUAGAUUCUGGGUGUGCCCAACAGCGACCUCUGGACAGAUGGCUGUCAGGAGAUCCUGUUUGCUUACCUCAAUGGCUCCAGGCACCAGCAUCUCUAACGUCCUCCAGUAGGACCCAGGACAGUACCCUAGCGACCCCGGGCCCUCUUUUCACAGCUCUGAGUGACAACAGUUGAUGGGGUAGCACUCUGUGGUUUGGUCUAGUUAGGAGAUUUCCAAUCUGUGCUGGUAAGUGAGAAUAUGUGUGCCCUACAAGUGUUGCCUGUGUAGAGAAACACCACCUCCUACCCAUGUGAGCCACUAAUCUUUGAAUAUUAAUGAAUGGCUAUAAUUAAUAAAAUGCAUGCUUAUUUGUACAAAUAGCUAAAUUCAUUAUAGGCUUUUGUCAUUAGGUAUUUUCUUGAUCAAGAAAUAUUAAAGGGGCUGGGGAUAUAGUGCCAUUGGUAGAGUGCUUCCCUAGUAUGCACAAGGCCCUGGGUUCAAUCCCCAGCAAAACACACACGUGCGCGCGCACACACACACACACACACACAAGAAAUAUUGAAUAAACAAGCAUUUCAUGGGGUCUGACAUAUUUUGGGGUUUAUGUAGGAUCACUAUGAUUGGGAAUAUGGAAGUUGUUGCUGCUAAAGAGGAACAUCAAGGUUGACUCUGUGAUGGCCACAAGGCCCAGGCCCACAUGGGGUGCAGGAGCAGAGACACACAGUGGGGCUUCUGCCUGGGGGGACUUGAACCAUUGCGCACUCUCAUGCUUGUGCAAAACCCACUUUGUUCUCUGAUUUUUAAAAAUUUAUUCUAAUUUGUUAUAUAUAAUAGCAGAAUGCAUUUCAAUUCACAUUACACAUAUAGAGUACAAUUUUUCAUGUCUCUAGUUGUACACAAUGUAGAGUCACACCAUUCAUGUCUUCAUGCAUGUACUUAAAGAUGUCCAUCUCAUUCCACUGCCUGUUCUCUGAUUUUUAAAAUAAAAUAUUUUAAAAAAUAUUUUGUUUAUUUAGUUGUAGUUGGACACAAUACCUUUAUUUUAUUUUUAUGUGGUGCUGAGGAUCGAACCCAGGGCCUCACAUAUGCUAGGCGAGCACUCUAACGCUGAGCCACAACCCCAGCCCCUUAAAAUGAAAUUUUAACCUAAAUUCAUCUUGGUGUUGCUUGGACCCAAUCUGAGUCUGUAUGAUUAGUUCAGGAGAAGUGAAGGUACACACUUAUUGUUUGACUUCGGCCUUACAGAGACAGGGUGACACACCUGAUCUGAUGCUGGGGCAGCCCCAUGUCCCUGUCCAGCAGGGAAGAGGCAAAUCAUGUUGGGUGUUGGGACACUGCUCUGUUUUCUCCUGUGGGAGGGCCCCAACAGCACCUCCACCUGCCACCUGCACCUUCCCUCCAACGUGGGCUACGUCAGCAGGCUUCGGGGUCCUGGACCACAUCUGCCUUGUGGAGUAGCAGCCUAGCUUCAGCAGGAACACUUUCAGAAAUACUGUUGAGUGAACAAGUCAGUGAGCAGAUGAACCCACGAACAGUUAGCUGUGUCUUCAACAUCUUGGGUCAGGGAUAGAAAUAUUUGAAGGAGACUUUGAAAGUGCCGGUCACUGUUUAUUAUAAGAGGGCUGCUGCAGUUUUCACCCCUGUGUGGACUUCUGGAGGGCUGGAGUGUUGAACCAAAGACCUAUUUUCCCCUUGAUUAUAGAAACAGUACAUGCUCAUUGAAUGGGAUGGGGGACAGCCAAUGGCCCUCACAGACACCUCUCCAUGGACCUGGCUCAUCCUUCCACACCCCUCCUUCACGUGCUCUAAAUGGCCUCUGCUCACCACCCUGACCCAUUCCCCUCCACCCUGCUCUGUCCCCCUGUCCCCAGGGGGGGAACUUCCUGGCAUAACUCAAGUUCUUAUCCUGGCUUCCCUUUAUGGUCAGCGCAGAGAGGUGUGGCAGGUACAAAGCCUGCGGCUGAGAAGCGGGGGACAGUCCCCUGCUUCGUGUAAGCCAGUCCAGUCCUUCUGGCUUCAGAACCCACUGCUAGACUCACCUGGCAGACUCUGGCCUCCCCCGUCCCCCACGCUCUCCUCUCCCGUCUGUGCUCCAGUGGCAUGUGUUCUGCCCGGUGGGUCUGGAGUCGCCCUCCCGUCUUCACACUUUACUCUGCCCACCACUCUCCAGGAGGCCUCUUCCCUGAAGCUCCUAUAAAUGGACUUCUUGAUGACUCCUUCCUGACAGGACCCUGUGACAAGACACAGCUGUGGCCGUCCUAGAACAUUCCAUCGUAUAACUUGAUUUUUAAAGUUAACAAUAUUCCACUAUAGGAAUCUUUUAAUCCCAGUAAAUGUAAUUUCACAUCCUCGUUAUUUUGAUUGAUAAAAUAUCCAGUAGGAUUUAGUUAAAUCCCACAAACAAUUAUUGAGGUGCAUACAGGACACAUUCCUGCCCUUGAGUAUGCCGUGAUGCUACGUGGGCCUUACCACACACAUGGAACAACCGGGAGGAAAGUAAAAGGUGUCAUGAAGGAGAUUCACCAAGAGCCAGAGGUGGGGCCCAGAGAACAGUGUCCUGGAGGGGGCGGCAGUGUCUUUGGUGUGCAGGACAAGACUGAGGCUGACCGGAACUAGAGGCUGAAAGCCAUCCCAGGCAAGAGCUCCUGCUGGAAGACCAACCCCUAAGGUCCCCAAGCAGGGAGGAACCGGGUUUACCCAGCAGAAUGAAAUACUCUUCCCACGGAACUCAUUCAUCUCUCUUUUAAGGUGGUUUCCUGGUAGUAUGGUUGUUUUCUGUUCCCUGGAGACCAUAGCCCCAGGAGGCCAGGGACUCCUCCUCACACCCUUCAAGACCCCCGGUUGGCGUGUGGCUUCAAGUGAAUACUGGAUAAUAAAGUGGAACCCUGAUUCCUUGCACUCUUUUGGUGGGGGUGAGGCUGAGGGCCUUGUGGGAAGCUCUCUGCACCUGGCUCCUUUUGGCAAUGGCCUCUUUCUCUUUUCAAAAUACUCCUGCUCAUUUAUGCUUACAGGGAAUGGAAUCGUCCAUGUGAGAACACAGUGUGGACAGGAUGCUGCCUCUGGAGAGCUUGGGGACACUCUGCCCAGGGUUCCUUCUUCUGAGUGGGAUCAGGAGUAGAAAGCCGUCCCUCCUCCUGGGAACGAGAUGGAAUAAAACCUGACUCUCUGAUCUCCUGCCUCUGGUUAACGGGGAAGCCUACACCGAAUGGUUCUACAGGGCAGGCUGACCUUUGAAGCAGAGGCUCCAUCCAGAACUGAGUGGGCUCUUCUGCCAAUAUUAAAACUUUAGCGAGUUUCCUGCAGCAUCCCAAGAACAGCCAGAGGGCACAGAUGUUUGCCAUGGACACUUUCUUUCUCUUGCCCUCCCCAUCUUGCCUAUCCUUCUGCUCGGCAGCUUUGGGUGUUGUUGUGGGGCAAGAGAGGAGGGCAGAGUUUGGGAUACCCGUCCAGCACCAUUAGGAGCCAGCCAGAGAUGGGGAUCAAGCAGGAGCAGCAGCUAGGAAACAGAAACUGGACAGAGAUGGGUGAAGGGCAGGAGCACGUGCUCCACAGGGUGCUGGCUGUCUGCACCUUUAACAGACAGCGCGCCUCUCUUAGAUUCACGUCCCUGGCAAAGGAUGGAGACGGCAAUGCCCAUCUGCCCUUACAGAGCCCUGAAAAUAGGGGAGGGAAAGGGUGAGUGGACACCCAUAGUGUGACCUCUGGGGUGGGCUCACCACAUUUCAUUCUUUGUCUCCCUGUGCUCCUGCUCACUGUGUUUUUUUUUUUUUAAUUUCAAACUCCUGUGGGGAAGAAAGGUGCUUUCUUUCACGAAGGAGCAUCUAUUACUACCAUGAGCAGUGCGGAGCCUUGAAGGCAUGCAGCACAUAUCCGAUCUGGAAGUGGGUAGUUGGGGAGGAAUCAGGUUUAUCUGCUCGCAGAGUAUCUCCCCAUGGUCUAAUCAUCCUGAUCUCUGGAAGAACUUUUAACCCAGCUGCGUGUCUGCCUUCUGUCUCUGAGUCCAGUCCUUCUGCUGGCUCCUGCCCACACAAGGCACGGCCUGGAGCUGAGCGGCCCUCCUGGGCCUGCGGCAAGCUGCUCAGGAGGAGAGGCUGGUCUGCACAGAGGGAACCCCAGGGCGUCCUGAUUCCAUGGCCUUAUAAACACCCAGGAAAGUCUGCUGGCUGUUGAAAACUCAGAUUCUAAAUACUGUUUACCCCUGAAUCAUUUGUAAUUCCUUUCCCAGCUCACAUAACUGUAAACUCCUACAAAGUGCUUUAUAAAUACUCAUUAGAGUCUCACAAAAGUCCUUUGA